rnacentral:rRNA from 1 species
GACGAACGCUGGCGGCGUGCUUAACACAUGCAAGUCGAACGGAAAGGCCCUGCUUUUGUGGGGUGCUCGAGUGGCGAACGGGUGAGUAACACGUGAGUAACCUGCCCUUGACUUUGGGAUAACUUCAGGAAACUGGGGCUAAUACCGGAUAUGAGCUCCUGCUGCAUGGUGGGGGUUGGAAAGUUUCGGCGGUUGGGGAUGGACUCGCGGCUUAUCAGCUUGUUGGUGGGGUAGUGGCUUACCAAGGCUUUGACGGGUAGCCGGCCUGAAAGGGUGACCGGCCACAUUGGGACUGGGAUACGGCCCAGACUCCUACGGGAGGCAGCAGUGGGGAAUAUUGCACAAUGGGCGGAAGCCUGAUGCAGCAACGCCGCGUGCGGGAUAACGGCCUUCGGGUUGUAAACCGCUUUCGACUGUGACGAAGCGUGAGUGACGGUAAUGGGUAAAGAAGCACCGGCUAACUACGUG